UUAAAAAUAGUUUAAUUAAAACAUUAAUUUUGGAGAUUAAAAUUAUUAUUUAAAAUUAUUUUUUAAA
rnacentral:tRNA from 1 species